rnacentral:rRNA from 1 species
UGUGUAGGCGGUUCUUUAAGUUUGGUGUGAAAUCUCCCGGCUUAACCGGGAGGGUGCGCCGAAUACUGAGGGACUAGAGUACGGGAGAGGAAAGUGGAAUUCCUGGUGUAGCGGUGAAAUGCGUAGAUAUCAGGAGGAACACCGGUGGUGUAGACGGCUUUCUGGACCGUAACUGACGCUGAGACACGAAAGCGUGGGUAGCAAACAGGAUUAGAUACCCUGGUAGUCCACGCCCUAAACGAUGCAUAUUUGGUGUGGGUCAUUCAGUUGAUCCGUGCCGGAGCUAACGCGUUAAAUAUGCCGCCUGGGGAGUACAGUCGCAAGGCUGAA